GGAGUUCCCGUUGCAGUUCAGUGGGUUAAGAACCCAACUAGUAUCCAUGAGGAUGUGGGCUCUAUCCCUGGCCUCACUCAGUGGAUUAAGGAUCUGGCGUUGCUACAAGGUGCUCUAUAGGUCAAAGAUGUGGCUCAGAUCUCGUGUUGCUGUGGCAUAGGCCUGCAGCUGCAGCUCCAAUUGGACCCCUAAUCCGAUAACUUCUGUAAGAAACAGGUGUGGCUGUGAAAAGAAAAAAGUAAAUAAACUAAAAAAAUAAAAGCCAUGAGAAUCUGAUUCCUCCAUCACCUUUUUCAGGAAUGACUAUUUAUUCAUUUUUUUUCUUCAUUAACAGGCAGACAAAAACAUCAUUAGACAAUGCAUGGACUAGGGACCUAUCGUCAGCAUCAGGUUUAGAUCCAUUUUCUAAUUGUAUCUAUCUUUCGUUGGCAUAUUGUCAGUUUUCUCUUAGUGUUCUAUCAGUCCACCACAUACUAUGUUUGGUUCACCAAAGGGACCAGGCCUUAUUUUUUCCACACUUCAAGGGCACGGUCAUGACCACUUAGGGUUUUACACAACUGUUCCAAUAUCUUAAAAUUGUGUUAAGAGCUGUUACACAAGUGGUGUUCUAGUCAUUCAGCCAGAGUCUUGAAAGCACUCAUUAGACACAGACUCUAAACAUAGCAGGAAAAUAAACUUAAUUUAUAGAUUUCAUAAGAUAAUUGGAGAGCUAAACUUAGCAAUGCAGAUAGUGAUGUUUCUAACAAUACCCAUUUUUAACAGGACAAACACAAGCAUGGUCCUCCCCACACCCUCACCAUCCAGAUUCUAAUGUCACUUUCCCUUGAUCUUGAAUCAUGUGUUGAAGAUUCAAAAUCCUUGGUGGAUUAACCAAACCUAGAUAAUAUGCUUUCACCCUGCUGCCAAAAGACAUGCAUAGAAUAUGUUUCUCGUGACUGCUUUCUGAAGAAAAUCUUUUUCCCUUUCCAAGAAUCACACGAGUAUGAAUUUUUCAAAACUAGGUAGUGUGAUUCAGACGGGGGCAUUUUGACCUAAAAGUAUCUCUUAUUAAAGCCCUGGGGCAUAUUCUGUCAUCAGCUUUCAUAAAUCUUAUAUUCCAAACAGAGAUGGGAACCAUGGAUAAAUAAACCUGGACCUAAUGUGUAAACCUAGACCUAAUGUGUAGUCCCACCUUACUACAUAGUUUACAAAAAAUAAGUCAGACAAUUACAUAUGGCUUGUAAAAUCAUGAAAGAGAAUGGAGUUUCACAUCAGUUAUUUUUAUUCAUUAGACCCAUAAAUGAACCAUAAUUCUUCAUGUGAUUUCCUUUGCUCUUGUCUGAUCUACAAGAAAGAAAAUGCUUUUGUACAAAAGGAAUAUUUUUCAUUUUUCAGUUCUUGUGUUUAGCAACAAUAAAUUCAGAAAAAUCUGGAUAAGAUUUGCCAACAAUCAUUUUCCGGCUAUUUUUCAACUGCAAAUAAUCUCAACUUCCUAAACUGGAUACAUUGCAAAUUAUGGUAAGUUUUUUUUUUUCCCUAGCUCACCACACUUAGUAAUUUAUUGUGAGACUGAGAUUGCAGUGUCCACCCACCCUUAUGUAUUAGAAGAAUAUACCAUGGAAAAUCAUUACACAUGUACUUAAAUCUGCUGUUGAUAUAUUUUAACUCCCAGACAAAAAUAUGAUUUGUUAUUAGGAACUGUCUAGCUAGCUAUAUGCAAGAGAAAUUUAUUGUCACUACAAAUUCAAACCAGGUUUCAAUGUUAUUUUUUGGGUAUUUGUAUUCUGACAUCAGUGAAUAAUAAUGAUUCUCUCCCCGUCGGUGAAGACAAACUUCAGGGUCUUUACUAUUGAAAAUGUUGAAUAUUGUUUAAGAUACUUGUCAGUUUUAAGAGCUCAAGUUAUUUACUAAACUGAUUGGAAACACUAGCAAAGGCAGACACUUUAUGGAUUGAGAAUGCAAAAUGAGGUUCUAAAUUCAGUUCUAAUUUACCUAAAAUAAGGAUAAUUUUACUAUUUAAAUUAUUGAGCUGCUGUGAAGAGGGAAGAAAUUGAGGUCUGUGAAGCAUCUAGCAAUGGUCCUGAUUGAUAGCAAGUACUUGGUAUCAUAAUUUAAUCUGCUGUCAUGAAAUCUUCAGUUUUUCAUUGAAAAGUGGACCUUGGUAUCUAUUACAAUAAACACAGUGAAGCAUAUAUCUCAGAGUACACCUAGCCUGGGUGAGCUUAGUGCUACAGUAUCAAUGUUACCUGUUUACCCUUAACCUUAAUCUGCACAGAGACAACCUCAUGGUGACCUAUAGCUGAAGAAACAUAAGUAUAUUUGGACAAAGACAGAAAAAAAUGCAGGUUAUGGAUCCUAGAAAAUUACUGCCUAUAUAAAAACAUCAAGAUGUGUUCUAUAUAAUAUAUUACAUGUUUAUAUGAUGGAGGUAUGGCCAUUUUAAGAAAAAUAUUUGUGUUGAAAUGUUUGGUUUAGGACCCUCCAACCAUGUCAGUUUUCUCCAAUGUAUUUUUUUUUUAUCCCAAGUAAAUGUAUAUACAGUGAAAGGCACAGAUCUCAAGUGUGCAAUCUUAUCUGGAACAUGUAAUUCAAGAUUUAGAAAUUCAUUUCAUCACCCCAGAAAUUUACCUCUUGCUCCUUCCCAAUAAAUUCCUCCCACUAGGAGAAAACUACUUCUUCUACCUCCUUUCUACUGUCAUACAUUGAUGAUUUCUCUAGAGACUCAUAAAAGUAAAAUUAUUCGCUAUGUAUUUUUUGUGCAUGGCUUAUUUUAUUCUACAUAAUGUUUUGGAGAUCAUUCCAUGUUCUUGGAUAUUAUCAGCAGUUUAUUAUUUUAUUCUUAAUCACUAUUAUUUCAUUAUAUGUAUAUAUACAAAUAAUUCUUUGGUUGGGACAUUGAUUAUUUCUAGUUUGAGGGUAUUAUAAAUAUAGAUGAAAGAAACAUCCUUGUACAAGUCUUUUCAUAGCUGUAAAUUAUUAUUUCUCUUGGAUUGAUAGCUAGGAAUGGAAAUCCUGUGUCAUAGGGUAGUUGCAUGUUUAACUCUGAGAAACUGCCAUACAUACAUAUUUCCAAAUUGUGCCGCUUUAUACCUCUGCUAACAACAUUUGGUCUUCUAAUCUGGCCAUUUGUGUGCAUUUAGGGUUUAUCUUGCUGUGAUUUCAAUUUGUACUUCCCUAUUGACUACUGGUGUUGAGAAGUUUUCUCUAUACUUAUUAGUCAUUGCUAUGCUCUUUUUAUUGCAAAAGAAAACUAUUAAAGUCUUUUGCAAAAUUCUAUUGACUUUCAGUAUUAUAUCUGAUUGCAUGAGUUACAUUUGAAAUAUAAAUUCUUUGUUAGAUACAUGCAUUGGAAACAUUUUCACUCAUUUGUGACUUAUAUUUUCUUUUCUUUUCUUUUUUUUUUUGUCUUUUUGAGGGCUGCACCCACGGCAUAUGGGGGUUCCCAGGCUAGGGGUCUAAUCAGAGCUGUAGCCACCGGCCUAAGCAACAGCCACAGCAAUGCCAGAUCUGAGCCGCAUCUGCGACCUACACCACAGCUCGUGGCAACGCCGGAUCCCUAACCCACUGAGUGAGGCCAGGGAUCGCACCCACAACCUCAUUGUUCCUAGUCGGAUUUGUUUCCGCUGCACGACAAGAACUCCUUAUCUUCUCAUUUACUUAUGAGUAUCUUUAAUAAGUAGACAUUUAACUUUGAUGGAUAUCAAAAUUUUCUAGUUUUUCUUUCACAGAAAGUGCUUUUGAAGAAAUCUCUGUGCAAACCAUUGAUGCACACAUUUUUCUUGUGUAUUUUCCUUCAGAACGUUACAACUUUAUCUUUUAUAUUCAUAUCUAUGACCCAUCUCACAAUAAUUCUGCUGUAUUAUAUAGUAAAGGAUGGGAGUUGAAGGUCAUGUUUUUCUGUAUUUUUAUUCAACUUUCUCAUUUUACUUGAUGAAGAGAUUCUUUUCUUCUUCAUUGGGAAGAAAGAUCAUUUUAUUUUGUGGACCAAAUUCUAAUUUAAUGACUUGUCUAUUCUAAUUCAAUCCCAUAUACUGUUGAUUGCUGUGAUUUUGAAUAACCAUGAGAUCAGGUAAUGUCUGUACUCCAAUUUUGUUUUUCAUUUUCAAGAGUACAUUUUCUAUCAUAGACCCCAUGUAUUUCCAUAAGUAAAUGAACUUUAGGAUCUACUUUUCAACUUCUGUGAAACAAAAAUGACUUACAAGUUUUAUUGGUAUUCAUUAAAAUUACAGAAAAAUAUGGGAAGAACUCAUAUUUUGCCAAAAUUGUACCUUACAACAUAUGAUUAUGGUAUAGCUUCCUGUUUAUUAAAUGUUUCCUUUAUAUUCUUUCUGCAAUCUCUUAUAAUUUUCAGCAAAUAGCAAAACUUUUACUACAAUUUAAUUAGUUUUAUUUCUAAUUUAAUGUUUUUAUGCAACUAUGAAUGGCAUUUAAAUAUAAUUUUUUACUGUUUAUGCUGUCAAUGGAGUAAAAAGAAAUUUAUUUCCAAAUAAGGACCCUGGAUACUAUAAUGCCACUAAAUGUAUGCAUUAGUUUUAAUAGAUUUUAAAUAUUUAGUUAAAAAUUUAAAUAGUUAAAUAUUAAGCAACUAUGUGCCCUAUAAAUAAAUAUGUUUUAUUCUUCAUUUACAGCUUUAUGACUUGCAUUGAUUGAUUGAAUGAUUGAUUGCCUUUUGUGCACCAGGACUUUGAGAACGAAGUUGAAUAAAAUGAAGAGUGGACGUCUUGGUUUGGCCUCAAUCUUAGGAGAAAUAAAUUAAUGAUGUCACCACUACAUAUAUGGUAUGAAAAUAUAUGAUGGUAGUUAAAAAAAGAUUUAUCAUAUUUUUUUUUACCACAUUAAGUUCCCUUCAAUUCCUAGUUUGCUCAAAGUUUUCUCCAUUAAGAAUAGAGUUUAUCUACCAUGAGGUACCACCUCCCACUGGUCAGAAUGGCCAUCAUUAAUAAGUAUACAACUAACAAAUGCUAGAGAGGGUGUGGAGAAAAGGGAAUCCUCCUUCACUGUUGGUGGGAAUGUAAAUUGUUACAACCAUUGUGGAAAGCAGUACAGACUUUCCUCAGAAAAUGAAAUAUAGAACUACCUCAUGAUUCAGCAAUCGCACUCCUGGGCAUAUACCCAGACAUACUAUAAUUCAAAAAGAUACAAGCAUCCUAUGUUCAAAGCAGCAUUAUUCACAAUAACCAAGACAUGGAACAACCUAAAUGUCCAUCCACAGAAAAAUGAAUUAUGAAGAUGAGGUAUAGAGAGUUCCUGUUGUGGUUCAGUGGAUUAAGAACCCAACUAGUAUCCAUGAGGAUGUGGGUUUGAUCCCUGGCCUCGCUCGGUAAGUUAAGGAUCUGGCUUUGCUGUAAGCUUCAGCAUAGGUCCCAUAUGCAACUCGGGUCUGAUGUUGCUGUGGCUGUGGCAUAGGCUGGCAGCUGCAGGUCUGAUGCGACCCCUAGCCUGGGAACUUCCAUACACCACAGGUACAACC
rnacentral:lncRNA from 1 species